rnacentral:tRNA from 1 species
CAUUGAGAAGCUUUUACAGCGCUAGCCUUUUAAGCUAGAGAUGAAGACAAUCAGCCUUCCUCAGUGAA